CAUCACUACGCUAGAUGCAUAUCAAUAAGCGGAGGAAAAGAAACUAACUAAGGAUUCCCUCAGUAACGGCGAGUGAAGCGGGAAGAGCUCAAAUUUGAAAUCUUCAAGGUUUUACCUUGACGAAUUGUAGUUUAAAGAAGUGUUUUCUGUUGAAGUUUUGGUAAAAGUUCUUUGGAAUAGGACAUCAUAGAGGGUGAGAAUCCCGUAUUUGACCAUUAUUUCCAGCUGUGUGAUACACUUUCAAAGAGUCGGAUUGUUUGGGAAUGCAGUCCAAAAUGGGUGGUAAAUUUCAUCUAAAGCUAAAUAUUGGCGAGAGACCGAUAGCGAACAAGUACCGUGAGGGAAAGAUGAAAAGAACUUUGAAAAGAGAGUUAAACAGUACGUGAAAUUGUCAAAAGGGAAGCGUUUGACACCAGUGUUGUUUUCUCGAAAAUCAAUUAAAAAUGAUGGAUUUUGUGUUGUAUUAACCUUUAUCAAGCUUUCUUCACUUUUUUCUUGAUCUUUUUUAAUGCACUUUUCGUUUAACAAGUCAACAUCAGUUUCUUUUGUUGUAAAAGGGUCAUUGGAAGGUGGCUUUCUUUUCGGAGAAAGUGUUUAUAGCCUUUGAUCUCUGCAACCGGAGAGACUGAGGUCUGCAGCGUAGACUCUUCGGGGUUAAAUACAUUUGUGCUAAGCUAUAGCUUUUAUAGACAACUUGUUGACUAUGAUUAGUCAUGUAGCUUACUCGUUUACGCUAUUUUACCUACGCUUAGGAUGUUGACACACGCGCGUGCUCG
rnacentral:rRNA from 1 species